GUUAACCAUGCGAUAUUUUUAUCAAGAUCCCCACGGUUCUUUUCAAACCAUAUUCACUUCUACGGCUUCAUACGUCCCUAAUCUAUCCAUUUAUUCAAAAGCCUAAUCAUCUUUGCAAGAUCUUAUAAUCUUCUCCAUCGCGUCCAAGAAGCCAUUUCAGAAACCACGUUUUCUUCCUUCUCUCAUGGAAGAAAUCUGACACGUGUCUGUCUUUGUUAACCACGCGAUAUUUUUAUCAGGAUCCCCACGGUUCUUUUCAAACCCUAUUCACUUCUACGGCUUCAUACGUCCCUAAUCUAUCCAUUUAUUCAAAAGCUUAAUCAUCUUCGCAAGAUCUUAUAAUCUUCUCCAUCGCCGUCCAAGAAGCCAUUUCAGAAACCACGUUUUCUUCCUUCUCUCAUGGAAGAAGGACAUCCAACCAUUGUUGCUCACCGCGAUACUGUUGGACUCAUGAGGUUAAAGUUUUGAGUUGACUCUUUCUUUUGAGAUAUGAAGAUUGGGUUUUCAAGGCAAAAGAAAACCAACGAAACAUUCAAUUUGUUAGGGUAUGUGGUAUUUGAACUUUACUCUGCUUAGGGUUUUGAGAAAGAACUGAACUUCUGUUUCAUCAAGCAACCUUGUGGCCAGACUCCAUUCAUAUUUCAAUGGCUUAAAAUCUCACUGAACUAUGUAUGCUACAUUACACGACUCAAAAGCAGGUUACAAUGCUUGACAAAAUCAAAGCUGCAGAUGUUGGGCUGGAGCCGGAAGCACAAACAGUACGUAACUGGACAGGUCCCGUAAGCGAACUCAACGGGACAAUGGGCCCAAUCAAUCUUUGCCGCCGAAUAAAUAUAUCCAUAUUCAUGAGUCCGACAGCUUCACAAUGGGGAUAUUUUGCAUGCCACCGUCUUCCAUCAUUCCCCUUCAUAAUCAUCCCGGAAUGACUGUUUUUAGCAAGCUUUUGUAUGGAUCAAUGGAUGUAAAAGCAUAUGAUUGGCUUGAUGAACCCUAACCGUCUGAUACGCCACAAUGUAUCAUCUUUCUUGACUAUGACUUAUGACAAGUGGUGGAUGAGGUUGCAAAUAUAUGGGGAUAUUUUGCAUGCCACCGUCUUUCAUCAUUCCCCUUCAUAAUUAUCCCAGAAUGACCAUUUUUAGCAAGCUUCUGUAUGGAUCAAUGGAUGUAAAAGCAUAUGAUUGGCUUGAUGAACUCUCACCGUCUGAUACGUCACAAGUUUCGGCACCAAUCUGCAACUUUGUCCACCGGCCGGAACGCAAGAAGAAGAGACAGUAGACGAUCAAAGAUAUUGUCAUUUGGAAUUGAGUGGCUGAAAGCUUAUAAUAUUUCGUGUUUUAAAUAUGAUUAAAAAUGGGAACUUUGUCUAGAAACGUAAUCAAAGACCCAAAUCUGAAAAUAUGAGGUAUGAGUAUACUUGGCAAAACAGGCGUGUCGGCGGUGUAAUGGAUCAAAUUGGGUCGUUUUAAAAAUUGGUCAUAAUCAUUCGAGUUAAAAUGAAUAACAGAUUUUUUUAAUAAUAGGAAUUCCCCCCUUAAAAAUGUGUAUUAUUAACCUAAAGUAAUUAUUAAUUUACUUUCUACAGCAACUUUAAAUCACUAAUAUUUUUUUAAAAAGACAAACAUGGACAAGAUAGUGUGUGGGUCAACCCUACUUGGGCCGUCCUGUUUUAUGACCCGUUACCCAACCUGGCCGACCUACCCGUAUUGUUGCCUUUAACAAAAACCUUGCUUGUAAUGGAUGAAGAGCCUAAUUACCAAGGCAAAAGCAACUUUUUUGAAAAUAAGUUUCCGGAAGUAAUCUUAGAAACGUUGACUAUACCACCAAAUGCUUGUAAUGUAUUAUGUAUAUUAACAUUAUAUUUUUGCAGGUCAAAUCGGUGAAGCUGAAACCAGGGAAAAGCACACACAACGGCUGUGGAAUCGAUGGUGAACUUUUUCGAGUCUCAGGUCAAGUUGUCUCAUCUUUACUUCCAAACCAAUGCAGGCUCAUUGGCCGCCCUCCAAGCAGCAAUGUAAUUAUAAAUAAAGAAUUUGCAAUUACAAUAUAUAUUUAUUUUUUAUAACUUUCUAUUUCAGUUUUUCAUGUUACCCAACCCCGUGUACCACGAGGGUUUUAACCUAGUAAUAAUAUAAUCUAAUCUAUAGUUUCUAUAAAAGAAGAAAUUUCAAUGACAUAAGAAAAGCUGAUGUGUCAGCAGGAGAGGCUGUCCAACAAGGCUUUUCUUACGUCAUUAUCGCAUCAUAAUCCUUAAUAUAUAAAAUCACUUUAAUUUUCAAAUGUCUGGCCCACAUCUAGAAAAUCACUUUAAAAUCAAUUUAAACAUCUGCCCACAUCUACAAAUGGGCAGCUGUUUAUAAAACCACUUCAAACCUCUGCCCAUAUUCAAAAUUUAAAAUCAAAAUCCUGGCUCCAAAUUCAAAAUUCAAACUACAUAUGAAUCUGCCUCCCUAUAAAUACACUAUGAAUUUGGCUCCACAUUCAAAUUUCAAUUUAUCUCUCUCCUUUAUAUUUGUGAUCAUAUCUCUCUUACUCAAAUGCAUAGCUCUCAUGAUUGAGCCGGUUAAUCUUCGAUUACAGUUCUUUGUUUCAAUAUCAUUGUUCCAACAUCGUUGUUUCAUUGAAGCUCUGUUUCACACACUCACCUUUGACCUCGGCUUUGCAUAUUCAGUCUGUUCAUCUGCGAUUACAGCUUUUUGUACUUCACGAAAUUUUUCCAACAUCAUUGUUGCAACAUCGUUGAGGUCUAAUCAGAGUUGUUUAAAAUUCAAAUAUCGGUUGCGGGUUAUUUUAGCGAGCAGUGGGGAGUUCUUCUGCACUGUUUUUGAAGUCUGAAGAGCAGAAAGUGGAGUACUUCUUUAUGAUAAAUGAAAAAGUUAAUGGUUCUUAUGAUUUAAAGUAUCGCUUUAUCAAGCAAGUUGAGGAUCAAGUAUAUGAGGAUAGGGCUACUGUUCAAGAGCUGAAGAGGUGUUUUGAUGGAGUGCAUCUUGGUCUGUUUACAAGAGACCAAGUGUCCAGAAACCUAAUGGUGAUGUCUUUCUGCACUUCAAACUUCAAAAACAGUGCAGAAGCUUUUCAUCACGUUUUACUACCAUUAUAUCCUUCUGUAGGUUCUUAUGAUUUAAAGUAUCGCUUUAUCAAGCAAGUUGAGGAUCAAGUAUAUGAGGAUAGGGCUACUGUUCAAGAGCUGAAGAUUAUUAAAUUUUGUUGUUCAGUUCUCAAUGUAAUUGUUGAUCUAUCGUCAUAUGUGAUAUGUAAAUUUUAAUUCUAUUAAUCUUUGUAGAGCAUUUUAUUUUUA